AAGUGAGUGUUCAUUACAAAGUGUGCCUCUCGGUUAUGGGCAUGCCCAGUAGAGUUAGCCUUGCAGCCUGAAAUCCAGCCUCUAAAUUUGAACAGGAGGGAGACGAGGUGACUGAACAGACUUUUGUUGCUCUCUCUCUCUCUCUCUCGCUGCCUCUCACUCUCGCUCUGCUUCUCACUCUCUCUCUUCCUCUCGCUCUCGCAAUGUUAAUUCCUACUCCUCUCCCAGUACUGAGUGUGGAGAGAUUUUUUUUGCUCUGGAAGAGCAAGAGGAGGUGCAGAUUUAAUCUUGUGCAAACUAGAACAAGGGGGAAGUAAAGCAAAUAAGAAGAAGAGGGAAAAGAGAGAGAGAGACUUCACCCCCAUCACACUCCCUCAUUGCCUCCUCUGCCAACGACUUUCACCUCAGAAAUAGCGGAGGGACCAACUUCAAAAGGAAGUCAGCAAGGAGCUGGAGUGUGAAAUCUGAGAAGAGAAGCAAGAUGAGAGGCUGUCCGGAGCUGUGUUUGCUAUGCUGUCCAGGAGCUGCCAGGACAGCAGACGGGAGCCUACAGGUAACUACUGGCAGGGAUCUCAAUAAUCAUGGAAGACUCUGCUGUUGAAGACAAGGACGUGUGAGGAGUUACACAAAAGUCUUCAUGGUGGAGAGAUUGACAUUAAGUAUUCUGAAAAGCUCACUUUGACUGCUGCUGUUUCCGUUGCCUCACAUAUUUGUCUCUUUGAAUAUUCUUUUACCACAAAGUCUUUUUCAGUUCUUCAAUAUAAUUAAAAUAUUGUCAUGUCAUGUUAUCCUUUACCAUCAUUCAUUUAAAAAAGGAAAUGUUUCUCAAGUGCUGUGCAUUGAGUAAAUAGCUGCUACUUCCAUGCAACUCUUUGUAUGGAAGUUAAUGUGUUCAAUAACGCAUGGGGUGAUUCUUCCUCCAUUUUCCUUUCCCAAACACCUCGGUGGUAUUGUCUCUGCUGACGUGCUGCAGCAGAUUCAGGGGAACAAAUCAGUACUCUUUUUUGAGGGCUUAAAGAGCUGGAGGAAGUCAUAGACAGCGUUUUUUCUCUUUCCUCUCUUUGCCUUCCUCCCUCACCCGUUAUCUGUCUAUGAAAUUGAGUGCAUCACAAUCUUCCCAUAUGGCCAUAUGCACCAGAGAACUCAAGUACUUUGCAUGAUAAAUGAUAGACAGUUGGAGAACAAGUACAGCUGUAAAAUGCUCUCC